rnacentral:misc_RNA from 1 species
AAAAGCUUGGGUCGAUGGGUAUGAGAGAAGGAGAACCAUCAAGUGAAUGGAUAAAGAAGCCUGAAGUACUGCGACAAAAAAGUGACUGACUAUGAGCAAAAAAUGGACUCGAAAUCUGGAGUUUCCAGUCCCUACAGACAGCGUUGAAUUUGAAAAGUGAUUUGGCAGGAAGAAAUGAAAGGGAGUGUUCCCUGAUGAUGUCCUUAAGAUCCAGAUACAUCUUAUUAUUCGGCGCAGUAAGAGAUCUGUCUGGCCUUUUUCCACGAUCCAUUAUUGAAACCAAAAGCUGUUCCGCUUGAUCAAAUUUUCACACAGCGUUACUCUUGUUGAUGAAGUGUAGAUUUU